rnacentral:sRNA from 1 species
UGCUGCACGGGCUGGCAUGGCCUCGUGUUGUGUUGGGGGUCUCGCACCUUCUGUGGAAAGUGCCCUGCCUGGCAUGCGCGGUGUCUGCUGCCUCAUGGCUGAGCUUCCAUCAGGCCGUGUGCCUGUGACCAGCCUCCUGGGCUCUGUCACGGCUGCGCUGUGGCUGUGUGGGGCUGCAGGGCUGUUCAUGGCGUGACCCGAAUCCUUUCCAGGAGCUUCGAGAACAACUGGAACAUUUACAAGCUCCUCGCCCACCAGAAGCCCCCCAAGGAGAAGUCUAACUUCUCCCUGGCCAUCCUGAACGUGGGGGCCCCAGCGGCUGGCAUGAAUGCGGCUGUGCGCUCGGCGGUGCGGACUGGCAUCUCCCAUGGACACACAGUAUACGUGGUGCACGAUGGCUUUGAAGGCCUAGCCAAGGGUCAGGUGCAAGAAGUAGGCUGGCACGACGUGGCUGGCUGGUUGGGGCGUGGUGGCUCCAUGCUGGGGACCAAGAGGACCCUGCCCAAAGGCCAGCUGGAGUCCAUUGUGGAGAACAUCCGCAUCUACGGUAUCCACGCCCUGCUGGUGGUCGGCGGGUUUGAGGCCUAUGAAGGGGUGCUGCAGCUAGUGGAGGCUCGCGGGCGCUACGAGGAGCUCUGCAUCGUCAUGUGCGUCAUCCCAGCCACCAUCAGCAACAACGUCCCUGGCACCGACUUCAGCCUUGGCUCCGACACCGCUGUAAAUGCCGCCAUGGAGAGCUGUGACCGCAUCAAACAGUCUGCCUCGGGCACCAAGCGCCGUGUGUUCAUUGUGGAGACCAUGGGGGGUUACUGUGGCUACCUGGCCACCGUAACUGGCAUUGCUGUCGGGGCCGACGCCGCCUACGUCUUCGAGGACCCUUUCAACAUCCAUGACUUGAAGGUCAACGUGGAGCACAUGACGGAGAAGAUGAAGACGGACAUUCAGAGGGGCCUGGUGCUGCGGAACGAGAAGUGCCAUGACUACUACACCACGGAGUUCCUGUACAACCUGUACUCAUCAGAGGGCAAGGGUGUCUUCGACUGCAGGACCAACGUCCUGGGCCAUCUGCAGCAGGGUGGCGCUCCAACCCCCUUUGACCGGAACUACGGGACCAAGCUGGGGGUGAAGGCCAUGCUGUGGUUGUCGGAGAAGCUGCGCGACGUUUACCGCAAGGGACGGGUGUUCGCCAAUGCCCCAGACUCAGCCUGUGUGAUCGGCCUGAAGAAGAAGGCGGUGGCCUUCAGCCCCGUCACUGAGCUCAAGAAAGACACUGAUUUCGAGCACCGCAUGCCGCGGGAGCAGUGGUGGCUGAGCCUGCGGCUCAUGCUGAAGAUGCUGGCACAAUACCGCAUCAGUAUGGCCGCCUACGUGUCAGGGGAGCUGGAGCACGUGACCCGCCGCACCCUGAGCAUGGACAAGGGCUUCUGAGGCCAUGCCCACGCCCCUCCCCAGCCCCCACCCAUGCCAGCCGCAGCACCAGGGCUCAGAUGGGGCCUGGGCUGUUGUGUCUGGAGCCUGCAGGCAGGUGGAGGCUGUGUCCCUGCUCAGCCCACCCCCUGCCUCUAUCCCUGGCCACCUGCCAGGCCUCUCUGGGGCUGGUGUCUUGAGACCAGCCUGCCAGGCCCUCCAGCAGGAGGACAGGGCGCCCUGGGGCAUCCACCUUCCUGCCCAGGGGACGCGGCGCUGUCGGUGUUUGGAGGCUGCCGCCCCCUGGCUUUGGCGCCCCAUGGGCCCUCAGCGUCUCCCCACGCUGGGCUCACUACAUGGGCCAGCCCUCACCCUACAUGGCCUGUAGGCUGCUGGCGCCUGGGUUGUGUUGAGAGGGGGACGCCCCUGGCCCUGCCUCACUGUGACCUGCUCCUGCCCACGUGCAGCACCCGUCACCUUUUCUAGAAAUAAAAUCACCUUGACUGUGGGGUGCAUCGGUCUCUGGAGAGCA